UGUGACCGUUUUAUAUUGCUCUCGUAUAGGUGCAGGAAUAGGCCUGCAUGUCUCUACCCGAUCACCGGAAUGAUUGGACUACGGAGUAACAAUACAUACCA
rnacentral:ncRNA from 2 species